AUUCUAGUAUCUAUACAAAAAGCGAUUCCUGUUUAUUUCUGCUUGGCUGUACUUUGCCUCAUCGCUGUCAUCUUUUUUGUUCUCAAUGUAAGAAAGUCUCGAUUUGGAACAAAUUUAAGCAAUAUUUUCCCACAGAAUUUAAAUAUGAGUGCAAGUAAUCAUUUCAAAGCACGCAUUUUUGUUUCGGGAGUCUGUGGUAGUCUCAUAUUGUACACAUUUACAGAAGCUGGGCAACUCCUUGCCGACACUACUGGUGAUAUUUUUAAUACUCUGAUGCAAUGUCCUUGGUACUACUGGAAUAUUAAGAAUAGAACAGUUUUUAUGAUAUUUAUGCUACACUCCCUAAAUCCCUUGAAGAUCGACUGGGGUGGCUUCACAUUAGGUUACAGUUUUGGAGGGGCUGUAAUUAGAACUUGUUGUUCUUACGCUGUGGGGUUAUAUAAUCUGAGGGAAAGUAAAUACUAGUAUUUAAGAUGGAAAUUGUUUUACAAUUUACAACGAAAAAUGUAAAUUCGAG